rnacentral:rRNA from 1 species
GACGAACGCUGGCGGCGUGCUUAACACAUGCAAGUCGAACGGAAAGGCCCCAGCUUGCUGGAGUACUCGAGUGGCGAACGGGUGAGUAACACGUGGGUAAUCUGCCCUUCACUCUGGGAUAAGCCUGGGAAACUGGGUCUAAUACUGGAUAUGACCUUUCUCCUUAUGGGGGUGGGUGGAAAGUUUUUCGGUUUAGGAUGAGCCCGCGGCCUUUCAGGUUGUUGGUGGGGGGAUGGCCUACCAAGGCGACGACGGGUAGCCGGCCUGAGAGGGUGAUCGGCCACAUUGGGACUGAGAUACGGCCCAGACUCCUACGGGAGGCAGCAGUGGGGAAUAUUGCACAAUGGGCGGAAGCCUGAUGCAGCGACGCCGCGUGAGGGAUGACGGCCUUCGGGUUGUAAACCUCUUUCAGCAGGGACGAAGCGUAAGUGACGGUACCUGCAGAAGAAGCACCGGCUAACUAUGUG